AGAAUCAACGCUGGCGGCGUGCCUCAGACAUGCAAGUCGAACGCGAAAGUUCCCUUCGGGGGACGAGUAGAGUGGCGCACGGGUGAGUAACACGUAGGUAAUCUACCUUUGGAUGGGGAAUAACAACCGGAAACGGUUGCUAAUACCGCAUAAUGCAGCGGCACCUAAUGGUGACAGUUGUUAAA
rnacentral:rRNA from 1 species